AUUUAGGAAUAGAACCGGAACAAGUUGCACUGUGAUGGAUUUGUGCAAACAAGCAAGCUCUGCCUUGAGAAGGUUCCUCUGGCAAAUGGUACCACUCAAAUUGUUGAUGGAUGAGAGGCCUGACAGAGGUUACAACUGAAAGGAGCACCACUGAGAUGCAGCUUCUGAUGAUGCAAAAGAUAUUCUGCCAGUCCCUCAAAAUCACCAUUCCAGGGCAGGUUUCCCUCCUUUUGCAAAGUAUAGAGCCGCAACUCCUCUCUGGCCCACCCAUCUUUUCUGCUUGUAGGUAAAGGCAGGUAUGAAUGGGGAAUUGAGCUUAGCGGGAGGACCUGUAUAAGUGUUAAUGAUUCAAAAUAGUUGGGGAACUUAUUGAAAUUUACUAAUAUCUUUUGUUUGUUUAUUUAAAGAUGAAUUGAACUUCAAAUGACUUGGAAAAAGUAGUACUUGGUUAAUACAAGCAGGAAAUAUGCCAUAGAUUUUCUAUUUUUACCUAUCACUUAAAUGCGCAUUGGUCAAUAAUACUCUAAGCAACAUGAACCUCUGUCAUUAGUACUGUCUUUUCCUUUCAGCCCCAGGAAAAUAUUGUGUAUGGUGCAAAAUGCAAUGUUUUAGUAUAUAUUUACAAUUCUUAUGCUGGCAUCUUAGGGGAAUUUUAAAGUAAUCAAGAUCAAGUCAAAUGUUUGAUGUGGGAUGAUGCACUCAACAGGCAUGUAUGCCUGAGUCUGUCCUAUCUGGAGUUCCCUAAAAUCUGACAGUUUCUGUCCUGGUUUCAGCUGGGAUAGAGUUAAUUUUCUUUCUAGUAGCUGGUAUAGUGUUGUGUUUUGGAUUCAGUAUGAGAAGAAUGUUGAUAACACACUGAUGUUUUCAGUUGUUGCUAAUUAGCAUUUAUACCAAGUCAAGGAUUUUCCAGCUUCUCAUGCCCAGCCAGCAAGAAGGCUGGAGGGGCACAAGAAGCUGGGAGGGGACACAUCCAGGGCAGCUGACCCAAACUGGCCAAAGGGGUAUUCUAUACCCUGUGACAUCAUGCCCAGUAUAUAAACUGGGGGGAGUUGGCCUGGGGGGCGAUUGCUGCUCGAGACCUAACUGGGCACCGUUUGGCAACUGGUGAGUAAUUGCAUUGUGCAUCACUUGUUUUGUAUAUUCCAAUCCUUUUAUUAUUAUUGUCAUUUUAUUAUUGUUAUUAUUAUCAUUAUUAUUUUCUUCCUUUCUGUUCUAUUAAACUGUUCUUCUCUCAA